rnacentral:lncRNA from 1 species
AUAGGUCCACAGUUCAUUGGAUGAAAAGAGAUAAUGAUAAAAAUAAAACUAUAUGAGAUUGACUUAUUAACAAAAAUAUUAUAAUUCGGCUCUGUUUAAUAAAUGCAGAAUGCGAAUUGUUGAUAAAAUCCUAUGAAUAUAUGGAUUGAUAUUGUGAUGCUUUUCCAUGAUUGAAAAAUAGUUAUUUGUACAAAUAGUGCUCAAAGUGACACUUUGCUGCACCGAAAAAACUAAAUAAUUUCUUGAGUGCAGCAAAGGAACUUUGCGCACUUGUAACACUUUAAAUUAUUCCUACAGUUACCAUUGAAUGUGAAAAGUGAGUGAUUGGGGGUUAAAAUGUCCUGAAAUUCAUCAAAUAUUUUUCUGUGUAAUUUUGUAAUUAAUCAAGAAAUCUAUAAUUCAAUUACAAAUUUAUAAUCACUCAUCUACCAUAUCGUCAUAAAAGGCGAUUGGGCGGGCGAAGCCCACCUCCCAGCCGGAGCUUGAAGCGCGGAGGCUGCUAACUCACCCAACUGGGGGUGCAGGGGGCGAAGCCCCCUGCCGAUCGCGCAGUUAAUUAGAAUAAUGAAUAAUUAAUUAUAUUUAAAAUAUAUUAUAAUUGAAUUAAUUUUCAAUAUAUUUAUAAAUUAAGUAUAAUAUGUUUAAUAUAAGUAUUAAUUGAUAAUUAUUUUAUAAUCUAACUUACUACAUUUUCCAAUAUAAACCAUUCAUUGACCAAUUUUAAAUAUUCAUUUUGUCGAAAUUACAUGGAUAAUCUUCAUUGAAUUUGAAAAUUCUCAGCAAAAAAAAGACUAUUGUUGGAAUCGAACCCCCAACCACAUCAACCUUAUCAACCUUUCCAUCACCAUUACAGUACUGUCCCAACUGAGCCACUGAGAACUCUAAUGAUAGAAUGAUUGAUGGGGGUUCUAUCUUAUGUAACAUUGAAAUGAUUACAACAGUCAGUGUUGCCAACUUAAUUUCGGUUUUCGCGCACUGGUCUUCUAUAUAAUAUAACCUACUAACUAUUCUUUGUUGUCAUGUUGCAAAUCUGGAGUACGCAAAGCAGCACUAUGCACACUAGUGUGGAAAAGUGAUUCUUUGUGUUCUGUAAUCAGUGCAACAAAUGUAAUUUUUCAAUGUAACUCUGUAGGAAAAACCAUUCAAAUUUGAUAAAAAUGUGAAAGUAUUAAAAUCAAGACACGUUUUUCAAUUGCAAAUUAUUUAUUCCAUGUUUUUAGUACCUAAAUUUAUUAAUUUUAAAAAUUGUCACCCAUUUAAAAAAUUCCAGAAAACUUGUAUAAUUCCAUUCUUUUAUUUCACAUUUUUAUUGUUGUUGUUUAAAAUAACUAAAUCUAUUUAUUGAAAAAAAUCAACAUAAACUUAUGGUAGUUCAUUUUGAUUGCACCUUACUGUUUUGCAAAAUAUAAGAUAAGUAUUUAUGCUGUCUUUUCUACUUUUAUUGUCUUAAUUUCACAAAAUCCUAAUCGGAUUUUGAAUCGACGGAUUUUCAUGGCAUUCGCUUCAGUUGAGCUUAGAUUGAGCCUAAUACACAAGGCUAACAAUAUAAAUAUAAUUAUUAAUGUAACUUAUUUAUUUUAUUAUCAUUACAUUAUUUCGGUUUUACAAAGACAAGGUAUUGCUACGACAAUUUUGUUUCCAUAAGUGAUAGUUGCUGAAAAUCCUAUAAUGUAUAUUUUGUUUGUUUCUCAAGAGUAUUUUAAAAAAACGUAUAUCCAUACAUCCACGAUGAUAGACCUAUAUUAUCUACACGUGAGUAUAACAUAAAAAUAAUCGUGCUGAAUCAAUCAAAUUGUUACAUUUCUAUUCCAUUUACUUUCUUUCAUGUUUGAUUUUAACUAUUAGUCUGUAUUACCUACCUGUCUUUUCUUUUUCUACAUCUUCAACCCAAUAGCUCAAGAUUACCUCUUUCCAAAUACUUCAUUCCAUAUUUUGAAAACAUUCGUUCCAACUACUUUCAUUAUACACAUAAUUUCAAACUUGUAGAAAUUCUCCAUAAAUCUAUUUAUUAUCAUAGCAUUCCUUUCAUUUAUUGGCCUUUACUGUUUGAAAAACCUGCUGUAAUAAAACACCUAUUAAAAUUCAUCUAACCAUUAUGUAACAAUGCUCUAUUCAAUGAAGACAUCAAUGACAGUUUGAAAUUUUAGUUUUAUAUGACAGUACUGUAAUUGAAAUUUUAAUUUCUAGGUGGAUAUAUUUGUCAAGCUUGUGGAAGACGCUACACUUGGCCGGAUAAUCUUAAACGUCAUCAAAGACUGGAGUGUGGAAAAGAGCCUAAAUUCUUCUGCCAUAUAUGUCCUUACAAGACAAAGCAUAGAACAAGCCUCAGGGCACACGUCAUAAGAAAGCAUACUCCCGCAUUAACAAGUCUGCAAUACAACUCACCUGAUGGAAACAAAGAAAAAAUGUGGAUAUGCGUGUGAUAUAUGUGGAAAACGCUACAAUUGGCCAGGAGGUUUGAAACGUCAUCAAAGCUUUGAAUGUGGAAAAGAGCCUCAAUUCAGCUGUCACUUAUGCCCUUAUAAGGCUAAGCAGAGCACCAACCUCAAAGGACAUAUCAUAAGGAUACAUAAUAUAUUCGAAUUUGAGCUAGAUAGACAUAGACCUCAUUUUACACAAAAACAGUAGAAGGAAUUAUACAGUAAUAAAAAUUGAUGUUGUUUUCCAUAACGAAAAAACACUAUAUAAAAACGUUGUUGUAGUUAAGACACUGUGUGGUGUGUAUCUUUCUAAAUAUUUGAAAACACUUUUUGUGAUGAGAUGAGGAAUGCAUUCCACUCCUGAGGAGGAGCUUCACCAGAGGCUAUGAAGCCUGAUGACGUUUCAUAUCUCAGCUUCAUAGCCUCUGGUGAAGCUCUUCCUCAGGAGUGGAAUCUAUUCCUCAUCUCAUCACAAAAAUUAAGUGUUUUUGAAUAUUUACAAAGAUACACAGUGUCUAAACUACAAGAAAGUUACCAAUAAAAAAAUAUUGAAUAUUGAAGAGUGAUAACCAACCAACUGCAAUUUUGGUCGAAAUGAGAUUUCGUUGCAAUAAAUGAAAAGGAAUGAUUAUUUUUUAUUUAAGCUUUACAAGCUGGAGAAAUGGGAAUGGCACCGUUCCUGAGAGAUAUUUAAUGUUUAACUCAUUGUUUUGUUGGAGAGAAUUUUAGUUGUUACUAUUGUGUCUUAAAUACAUCUUUAUUACAAUAUUGUACAUAUUAAAGUGACCUUAUGAAGACUAGCGCGCCUUCCUUGAGUUUUCUGUUACAUCCUAUUAGCCUAUAUCCCUCUCAAGAUCUAUUAAGAUUGAAAAAUCUCAUAGAUUUUUUCAUUGGUGACACAUCUCUUUAGUUGGGUAAAUUGUAUAUGGUAUCUAAUCAAAUACUUACAAAUGAUACUUUUCAGAAAUUGAAUUGAAUUCGACGAUUUUUCUAAAUACAAAAUACAAGGAAAUUUUUUCAAAGUGCUGCAUAAUAUGUUUCCUUAUUAAAACCUUUAUUGAAAUUUCUAUCCAGCUGGAAAAUGAUUAACCACACCCUUCUGAAUAUUGAGUGUGUUUGAGAUCGAUCAAGCUAUCAAGAUUUUCAAUGACUAAUAGGUUUGAUAAUUUUGUCCGUACUUUCUUAUUAUUUGUUGAAGUUUCAUGAAUCAUGACUCACUCCAUCCUUCUUCGCCUAUCACAGUUUUUUUUUUAAAGUUUUAUAACAUUCAAUUCAAUUCUUACUUCCUCUUUCCAUUCAGCUCCAUUCCCUUAAUCCAUAAAGUUGACUUCAGAUAGAUUUGGGGUGAAAAUAUAGUGGAGAUAGCGAUGGUAGAUCUUUAAGAUUGACAGUGAUGAAUGUAAUGCAUGUAAUGCAUUUUAAUGGUGGCCACAUUACUCACUCCAUCCUUCUUCGCCCAUCACAGUUUUUUUUUCAAAAAAGUUUAAAAAUACUCAUCGAAUAGAUUGAAUAAUUCUGUAAUAAACUCGUGGCUGGAUUGAAAUAAAAUACCAAAAUACAGCAUCAGAGGAGUUAAUCUUCCGAUUGAAGAUUGACUUGGAGUGCAAUAUCAAAAAUAACUCAAAUGACAUUAUUCCAUAAGCAGAGUGGUGAGUGGAGAGUGGUAUAAGUGAAGUGGUAUAUGUUUUGACCGAUGCAUCCAACACUCAAAUUUGAAGCUACCACCACAGAAUACAGCAAGCAUUAUAGAGGUUUUCUCUGCUACCACCUUUGCCGCUUCACUAUGUUUUAACUCUUUUUUACUCUUCUUUCUGUUGGCACCUUCAGGGUAUACGAACGAGUAAGUCGCGGUGAAGAUCAAUGCAGAGUUGUACAAAUUAGAUUAACUCCAUUUUCACUUGUAGAAGUUUGCUUCUUAAACUCAUUUAUAUCAUCCUAUUUUCAUUCUCAGAUCAAUGUUUCUAAUCUCAUUGUUAUGGUUUCAGGUGAGAAUACAUGCAGAAUGUGUGGACGAAACUACAACUCCUUUCAUAACUUGAAACGCCACCAAAGACUUGAAUGCGGUAUAGAGCCAAAGUUUCAUUGUCACCUGUGUCCUUUCAAGGCCAAACGAAACAACAUUUUAAAAUUACAUGUCAUUAAGAAGCAUUCUGCUAUGGCUGAUAAGCUUUUGAAUUUUUAAUUCCAUUAGCCAAAGAACCUACAACUCAAUAGUCUGUCGAUAACCUUAUUGAAACUUAAUCCUUAAGGUGCGUACAGAUUUACGCGCCGCGAACAUGAGCAAUUAUUCACUUUUAAUCAGCGGAUGCCAAGCUUUUCAUAUCUGUAUCUUACCGUUUCUGUAAAAAUACAGAUAUAAUCAGCUGAUUAAAAGUGAAUUGUUCAUGUUCGCGGCGCGUAUAUCUGUACGCAACUUAAUACAGUAAUCAUUUAUUCUUGAAAACAUGUCAUGAACAUCGUCAAUGUUGAAACCUUCGUUCUCGCUCGGCCAGAGCAGUCAUGUCACAGUCAGAGCAGUCAGUGGUUCGUGUCUGGUUUGCUGUGACGUCACCCUCACUUAUGAAUCUUUGUGAUUUACUAAAAAAUGUAAUUUGACUAUGUUUUUUUUGUAAAAAUUAAAUGACUAAUAACAUUAUAUUUCAUUCCAUUCUAUGUGUUAUUUAAUUUGAAAUGCCAUAGACCUAUGCUACCGUACUUUUAAGGGAAAUCGAAAUGAUAUGUAGCCUAAUAAACACAGAAAAUAGCUUGAUUGGGAAGUUAUUUUUUUCUGGAAUAGUAAUUGCGUACAACAUACAAAGUUAUUUCAUUACCGUAUUCCUCUUAUCUACUCAACUCUCCGCUGGAAAAUAAUUCAUUUUCAUCAACUAAAGAUGAUUUUAAUAGAAAAUUUAUAAUUUCUCUUCCUGAUUUUUAUUUUUGGUCUCUAUUUCAAUUUUCCUACUCACUACCGGAUCUAAGAUGUAAUAAUCAUUCAAGUAGCUUAAUUUUCUCAUCAUUAGCUCUUCUAUAAAACUCCUGCUGUCCUAUCCCAAAAAAUAAUAUAAUUAAUCAUUGACAUAAUGAUUUUCUCGUUCACAAAUAUGUAUUCCAAAUUGAUUUGAGUUGAAUUACAAAAAAAAAUCUAUUUUUGCAGGUAAAUAUGUUUGUGGUAACUGUGGAAAAUCAUAUAGGUGGCCUCAAACCUUGAAACGUCACCAGAGCUUCGAGUGUGGAAUGGAGCCUCAAUUUCAUUGCCACCUGUGUUCUUACAAAGCAAAACGUGAUACGAGUCUCAAGUUGCAUAUCCUGAAUUUACAUAGUCCCCUGCACACAGGGAAAAAAGUAGCGUCCACUAGUAGCCUCCAGUAGUGGCAGAAUGUCAUCAUAGAGACAUAGCAGCGUCCAAAGCCCUUCUACAGGGACAAUAGACGGCGUUCUAGUAGCCGCCAACUAAUUGCCAGGGAAACAAUACAUGUGCGUCGAUUGCGGCAGAAGCUAUGCGCAGUCGCACAACUUGAAGCGACACCAGCGACUGGAGUGUGGCAAGGAGCCACGCUACAACUGCAUGCAUUGUUCCUACAAGUCCAAGCACAAGACCAACCUCAAGGUGCACAUUGUUAGAAGACAUGGACAGAUGAUCAUUUACUGAAAUUGUUCCUACAAGACCGAGCGGAAGAACAAUCUCAAAGUGCACAAUGUCUUAAGGCAUGAACAGACCACUUCUUGAAGUCGAUUUGUGGCUCACUAAGUUUCGCCCAAGAAAAGUAUUAUUUAGUAUAAUAGGAAUGCAAUAGUUGUAUUGAAGUUAGAGAAUUAUUGUUUGAAGUGUAAGGCUUAUUGCUCCUACAAAUAAGAGCCACUACUAUAUAAACAUAGAUGAUCCAACCCACACAGCAGUGACGUAGACGUAGCAGCACGUCUCUUCUGUUUGCCUUGCACCAUGUUUUUAUAUGGCAGUGAUAAAAGUCCGUGAUAUAUGCCACUUCUGUGUCUAUUGAGCCCAACAGAAGUAUUAUAAUCAUAAUAGUAUCAUAAAAAUUCAAUAGUUGUAUAUUACUGUUGGGGAAUCAUUCCAAGUUUCGGUCUAUAGUGUCACAAACUUUAUAUUUCUUGAGUCAGGUAAAAAAAAAAAAAAUGUUUUUUUUUUUAAUCUGAAAUUUUAAUAUAAUUUUGAUUUAUCUGCAUUUAUACAGAAACAAAUAAGUGCUGAUUGAUCCACAUCUUACAAAUUGAAGUUUAUCAGGUUUGUUUUGAAUUUUUAAAAAAGUAACUCAUUCAAUAUAUAUUUAUUUAUUCAUUGAUUGUACAAUAUACUGUCAUCAUAAUAAUAUUAUGAUCAGGGAGAAAAAACUAGGCAAGUAAGUAGGUACCUUAAGUUAUAGCCUUUGUUAGUGAGAAUUUUAUUAUUGUAUUAAUUCUAUUAUUGAAAUAAUAAUUCCAAUUGAGUAUAAUUCAGGUGUGGCUAUUCCAGGAGAAGAGUCUAUUAACCUUUAUCAAAGAAUAUAAGUAUUCUUUUAUCAAUUUC